GCUCCAGUGGCCUAGUGGUAAGAGCAUCCAUCUUGGAUGCGGGAGGUCGCAUGUUCAAACCCUGGCCGAGUCA